GGCGUCGUAGCUCACUUGGCUAGAGCGUUGGCUGUACUAAAGUUCACCCCUUGCUGGCGUGGGUUUGAAUCCCACCGAGGCCG
rnacentral:tRNA from 1 species